UUGAAAGGGAAACGAUUGAAGUCAGUCGUACCAGCGGGAAAUCAACCUUUCGANUGGGGGUUGNAGUUUUGAAGUGUGUCAAAACCUUUGAGAUUCCNAAAUUUUCGCUCUUUUGGUGUACUUUCUCGUGGGUAGGUUAACAUCGAUUUUGAUCAUCAUAAAAAGAUUGGAGGAAUGUAGCUUCGAUCUUGUAUUGAAGUGUUAUAGCCUUUGGUAAAUGUGAUGAUUAGGAUCGAGGAUUGCAACGAAUACCCUUUUGGGCUAACCGCCUGAUCUCUGAUACGUGGCCUUGGUAUCGAAAGCGUGCUUAUGGUAUUGAGGUAUUACGGUCAAAAGGUUAGAACGGAUUACAUUCGUUAAGGAUGUUGACGUA
rnacentral:rRNA from 1 species